UACGGGGGGAGCAAGCGUUGUUCGGAUUUACUGGGCGUAAAGGGCGCGUAGGCGGUCAGCACAAGUCAGUUGUGAAAUCUCCGGGCUUAACUCGGAAAGGUCAACUGAUACUGUGCGACUAGAGUGCAGAAGGGGCAACUGGAAUUCACGGUGUAGCAGUGAAAUGCGUAGAUAUCGUGAGGAAUACCAGAGGCGAAGGCGGCUACCUGGACAAUUGCUGACGCUCAGGCACGAAAGCGUGGGGAGCAAAAGGG
rnacentral:rRNA from 1 species